rnacentral:rRNA from 1 species
UAUUGGGCAAUGGGCGCAAGCCUGAUCCAGCCAUACCGCGUGAGUGAUGAAGGCCUUCGGGUUGUAAAGCUCUUUUGGCGGGGACGAUGAUGACGGUACCCGCAGAAUAAGCCCCGGCUAGCUUCGUGCCAGCAGCAGCGGUAAGACGAAGGGGGCUAGCGUUGUUCGGAAUUACUGGGCGUAAAGCGAGUGUAGGUGGUUGUCCAAGUUGGAUGUGAAAGCCUUGAGCUCAACUCAAGAAAUGCAUUCAGGACUGGAUGGCUAGAGGACCGGAGAGGAUAGUGGAAUUCCCAGUGUAGUGGUGAAAUACGUAGAGAUUGGGAAGAACACCAGUGGCGAAGGCGGCUAUCUGGACGGUUUCUGACACUAAGACUCGAAA